rnacentral:lncRNA from 1 species
CCAAAACGCAUAGAUGACCAGGAAUCUCUUCAGUGAGUGGCUGCUGAGCAUCAACGAAAAAAUGAGAAAGGCAAAAAGAAAGAUUCUUUUGACUGUAGACAAUUGCUCUGCACAUCUUGUCGAUCUCCAUUUGAGCACUGUGCGUGUCGAAUACCUCCCGCCAAA